UGCACUGGUCGUGUCCUGACCUCCGGCUCUGUGGUCUGCAUCGUGCCCCAGACACAGAAGGAGGGCGCUCUCUGUGCACUGCAGCAAGUCAUCUGUCAGGACAGAAAACAGCAGCUCAGAGCCUGGGGAGAAAAGCUUCACUUCUAAUCACUGUCCGUCUAUAAAUCCAAGAGAAACCAGCUGGAUUCUAUCAUACUUCAUUUUCUUCUGGUUGAAUCUGAAGGUGGCUUUAAGGAAUUUGAAGGUAUACAUUAAUCCGUAUACACGGAAGACGAAAAGGAAGGUGGAAGGCAGUGGCAUACCAAAGGAAGAAGGGUUCUGUAGGAAAGUCAGAAUUGUGCCCUACUUCAAGCUGGACCUUGAUUGUUGCCUCAAUCGACAACCAAUGAUUUUUGUUUGGAGUGCUGCAGGGAUUGCACUUACAGAGCAACCUUUUCUGUGGGCAGCCAGCAGGGAGACCCCGUGCUAUCAGUUUGUAUGUGCAGAAAAUGUUUUUCAGCAGAUUUAAAUGCACCUUAACUUUAACCCCUUAGUGACCACCUAUACGUGUUUUUACGGGAGUCACUAAGGGGCUUUAGGCUGGGCUGCCGCUUUUUUACGGCGGCCCAAUCUAAGCUCUGCACGGGUCCCGCGGGGAGCUGGGACCCGGCUCUCACAUGAGAGCCGCAGCCCUGCUCUAACAG